rnacentral:misc_RNA from 1 species
AAGUCGUAACAAGGUAUCCGUAGGUGAACCUGCGGAUGGAUCAUUAUCGUAUUACCACGUAUCAACUCACUGUGAACCGUAUUUGAGCAUCGGUGGAAGUGAAUUGUGACGUUCUGCACUUCGGUGUGGAACGCUUUGAGGUUAUCUUCCGUUUUGGUGUUAGUGGGAUUCAUUUUCUACUCGCAUCGCUUUUUUGGGGGAAGGACCGAACAAUUCGUCUUUUCUUUAUGUAAUUGAAGACAUUGCGAGAUGACUUUGAUAAUGUGAAGAAAUAACAUGCUAUGAACCGACUCAUCUUAUUUCCCUAAAAGCAAACCCACACCACAAAAGUACGUAAUAUGACCGCGACUAAGUCCAUUUUCUUACUCCCGAAAGGGGGAAGAAAAUCGUAGAAAUACGAAACUAAGUAUAACUCUUAGCAACGGAUAUCUCGGUUCUCAUAACGAUGAAGAACGCAGC